UACGAAGGACCCAAGCGUUAUCCGGAUUUAUUGGGUUUAAAGGGUGCGUAGGCGGAUUAUUAAGUCAGUGGUGAAAGCCUUCAGCUUAACUGAAGAAUUGCCAUUGAUACUGAUGAUCUUGAGUAUGAUUGAGGUGGGCGGGAUGUGUCAUGUAGCGGUGAAAUGCUUAGAUAUGACACAGAACACCGAUUGCGAAGGCAGCUCACUAAGUCAUAACUGACGCUGAUGCACGAAAGCGUGGGGAGCAAACAGG
rnacentral:rRNA from 1 species